UGUACACACACUAACCCCUCCCGCAACCCCUUAUGUAGCUUAAUAUAUAUGUAUAUACAAGCUUAUAUAUGUAUAUAAUGUAUGUAUAUAAGUUGAUGUUGCACUUGCACACCCUUGAUUUUUUUGGCUAUAUACAGAAUUGUAAAUAGUUUUAGGAUUUAUGUUUCAUUGGAUUUGAUUCUAAUGGAAUUUUGAUAAGACUUUGGCUUUUUUCAUAUUCUAUUCUUCUUCUUCAAACAAAAGCUAUUGGGAGGAGAUUGGAUUUUCAGUUUGUGAUGUUUAGAGAGCUGAGAAAUUGAGCGGGAAAAGUUCUUCAAGAUUUUGCCGUUGGCUUUAAAGUCCAUACACAAUGAAUUCUUCAACAUACACCCAUUUCGUCGCCUCAAGAAGGAUGGGUAUAUGCGAUUCGAUCCAUCAACUUGGAAUGUGGGAUGAUUUCAAUGGUAGUUUCCCAAGUACAUCGGCAACCAUGAUUUUAGAAGUUGAUAAAUGCCUAGAGGACCAGAUACCACUUAUGGAGAAAAGACUAGAAAACGAGACAGAAGACACUUCGCAUGGAACAGUAGGGACUUCUAACAGAUAUGAACCAGAAACAAGUAAACCCGUCGAGAAGGUACUUAGACGUCUUGCACAAAACCGUGAGGCUGCUCGUAAAAGCCGUUUGAGGAAGAAGGCCUAUGUUCAGCAGUUAGAAAAUAGUAAAUUGAAGCUGAUUCAAUUGGAACAAGAAUUAGAACGUGCCAGAAAACAGGGUCUGUAUGCAGGUGGUGGUUUAGAUGCUAGCCAGCUAAGUUACUCUGUAACCGCUAGCUCAGGAACUGCUGCAUUUGAUAUGGAGUAUGGUCACUGGGUGGAAGAGCAAACUAGACAAACAAAUGAGCUAAGGAGUGCUUUGCAUUCUCAAAUUGGUGAAGCGGAAUUACGCAUUAUUGUUGAUGGUUAUCUGAGCCACUACUUUGAUCUCUUUCGCAUGAAAGCUACAGCUGCUAAAGCUGAUGUCCUCUAUAUCAUGUCUGGCAUGUGGAAGACAUCAGCUGAGCGCUUUUUCAUGUGGAUUGGGGGGUUUCGGCCAUCCGAGCUUCUAAAGGUUCUCACACCACAUCUUGAGCUGUUGACAGAACAACAACUUCGGGAGGUUUGUAACCUGACACAAUCAUGUCAGCAAGCAGAAGACGCCUUGUCACAAGGAAUGGUAAAACUCCACCAGAUUCUUGCCGAGGCUGUUGCAGCUGGCCGAUUAGGCGAAGGAAAUUACACUCUUCCACAAAUGGGGCCUGCCAUCGAAAAGUUGGAAGCUCUUGUUAGGUUCGUAAAUCAGGCGGAUCAUCUACGCCAAGAAACUCUCCAACAGAUGUCCCGCAUCCUUAAUACGUACCAAGCAGCUCAGGGCUUGCUUGCCUUGGGGGAGUACUUUGAACGACUUCGUGUUUUAAGCUCACAAUGGGCUACUCGUCUACGUGAACCUACCUAAUGAAGCACAAGAAGAUCUCCUGUAUAUUAUUCGAGGAGUUUUGCCUUCAGAAGUCGAUGCUGUGUAAGCUAAAUCUGCCACUUGUUUAUGUCAAUAAAACUCUCAACAUGAACAUAGAACAUUAUAUCAGGCUGUGGACCAGAAGACUGUUGCUCACUUGGUAUCUAAACCUAUAUAAUCAGUGGGCGAGCCACAUAGGCUCAAGGGCAAAUGCAAAUUCAGGAUUCGAAUGUUAUGGGUUCGGGUUUGACAUUUAUUAUUUGUACUUAUUUACUGGAUUUUAAACACAUAGACAUGAUUCGAACCAAUGUUACUAGGUUUGGAUGAACCCAGAAGUUAUACUAGAUCUACUUCUGCUCAAGGGUGGUCAGUUUAUACUGUAUAUAUAUUAUGCGUUGAAUCUUGAGCGUCUUUAAUGAAAUUCUUGGCUUCGCCAUUGAGCUA